UCCUGGCUCAAGACGAACGCUGGCGGCAUGCCUAACACAUGCAAGUCGAACGGGGAUAGCAAUAUCCUAGUGGCGAACGGGUGAGUAACGCGUGAGUAACCUGCCUCAUACAACGGGAUACCUGAGGGAAACUUCAGUUAAUACGGUAUAAGACCACACUGCCGCAUGGCAGAGGGGUAAAAGGAGCAAUCCGGUAUGAGAUGGACUCGCGUCGCAUUAGCUAGUUGGUGAGGUAACGGCCCACCAAGGCAACGAUGCGUAGCCGACCUGAGAGGGUGAUCGGCCACAUUGGGACUGAGAUACGGCCCAGACUCCUACGGGAGGCAGCAGUGGGGAAUAUUGCACAAUGGGGGGAACCCUGAUGCAGCGACGCCGCGUGAGCGAUGAAGUAUUUCGGUAUGUAAAGCUCUAUCAGCAGGGAAGAAAAUGACGGUACCUGACUAAGAAGCCCCGGCUAACUACGUGCCAGCAGCCGCGGUAAUACGUAAGUGGCGAGCGUUAUCCGGAAUGAUUGGGCGUAAAGGGUGCGCAAGCGGCGCAUUAAGUUUGAAGUAAAAGGUAGCGGCUCAACCGCUGCAAGCUUCNAAAACUG
rnacentral:rRNA from 1 species